CAUUUAACUAGAGCAUUUUAUUUUCAAGGGAAAUAAUUGUGGUCUGACUGUAUUAUUUUGAAAAUCACAGUUGAGAUUUUUUUUAUGUGUGCACCGGUACAGUUUUGUGGGGAAGCGAAAGUUGCCAUGGAAUUUUGUCUUCUUCUAAAAACAAGUGUCUGAUACAUGUAGUUGCAGUCUGUCUUUGGAAGCUGUAGAAAUAACAAGAAAGGGACUGACAUAGUGUUUUGGUAGGGAAAAGUUUGAGUAUGUACAUGUACAGUUGUUUGACCUGUGUUACCCUGUGGCAGUCCAAGCAGAUGUUACCAUUAUGAAAAAUGCAGGAGAACUUGAAGACAAUGGUUAGUGCAGAAUGGACAUAAAAGUUAUGAUAAAAGUAACAGAUAUAAAUAAGGUAAACUAUUGUGAUAAAAAGACAUGGCCAGUGCUGCACAUCACAAAGGCAAUAUUUGAAUUUAAUUUUUUGUCACUUAUGAGUUCUGUAAAGCUGAUUUUGCAAUAUAUAUAAAAUGAUUAGGAUUAUUUUUUUUACUGUGAUCAUUUUUUCACAUGAUUUUGUCAAGACUGACAAUUUGUUCAUUGGAAUAAGAUAAUUAAAGGCGGCAUUGUGUCACAUAAAAAUAUGUCUGCAUAGUUGCCUAACAUUAAAUGUCAAAUUGUAAACAAGGAAAUUCUAAAUUGGAAAAUCCUUUGUUGUUUUUCUUCAUUUAGCUCAGUUGAAGGAGAUGAAGUUUGAA